rnacentral:rRNA from 1 species
AGUGAACGCUGGCGGUAGGCCUAACACAUGCAAGUCGAACGGCAGCACAGUAAGAGCUUGCUCUUACGGGUGGCGAGUGGCGGACGGGUGAGGAAUACAUCGGAACCUACUUUUUAGUGGGGGCUAACGUAGGGAAACUUACGCUAAUACCGCAUACGACCUACGGGUGAAAGCAGGGGAUCUUCGGACCUUGCGCGAUUGAAUGAGCCGAUGUCGGAUUAGCUAGUUGGCGGGGUAAAGGCCCACCAAGGCGACGAUCCGUAGCUGGGCUGAGAGGGUGAUUCGGCACCCGGGAACUGAGGACGCGUCCAGACUCCUACGGGAGGCAGCAGUGGGGAAUAUUGGGCAAUGGGCGCAAGCCUGAUCCAGCCAGACCGCGUGGGUGAAGAAGGCCUUCGGGUUGUAAAGCCCUUUUGUUGGGAAAGAAAAGCAGCAGGUUAAUACCCCGCUAUUCUGACGGUACCCAAAGAAUAAGCACCGGCUAACUUCGUG